UAGGUAAUUCUCUUAAAUUUUCUAAAUUUAUCUUUUUGUUUACAAAAAAUUACUUAG
rnacentral:tRNA from 1 species